rnacentral:hammerhead_ribozyme from 1 species
AUCUAGUUGACGAUUCUCAAAUAAGACGGAACGCGCGUCCUGGAU